rnacentral:rRNA from 1 species
AUACGGAGGAUGCGAGCGUUAUCCGGAUUCAUUGGGUUUAAAGGGUACGUAGGUGGCCCGGUAAGUCAGUGGUGAAAACCUGCCGCUUAACGGUAGGCGUGCCAUUGAUACUGUCGGGCUUGAGUGCAGUUGAGGCAGGCGGAAUGUGUAGUGUAGCGGUGAAAUGCAUAGAUAUCACGAGGAACUCCGAUUGCGAAGGCAGCUCACUGGGGUACAACUGACACUGAGGCUCGAAAGUGUGGGUAUC